AUGGCUAUUGGGGGAUAUGGGAACAUCAGUGGGUACCUUUUAAAAACACAUAUGCAGCUCUUGCAUGCAGAGGAUUUUCAGCUGAUGGAUUCACCUGGCAUCCUUGAGUGUGUGACAUUGUCUUUAAACCCUACGUGGCCAUCUCUGAGGCACUGCCGUGAUGCCUGGGAAGACAAAGCAGCCUGAAAGACCAUCUCCUUCCUUAAGAUCAUCCAACUCGUGGGUGAGUAUCCAAAGUGCUUCACUGUGGGAGCAGAUGAUGUGGGCUCCAGGCAGAUGCAGCAGAUCCACAUGUUCCUUCCAGGGAAAGCUGCAGUGCUGAUGGGCAAGAAUACCAGGGAGUGCAAGGCCACCCAAGGGUGUCCAGAAAACAGCCCAGCUCUGGAGAAACUGUUGCCUCAUAUAUGGAGGAAUGUGGGCUUUGUGUUCACCCAGGAGGACUUCAAUGAAAUCAGGGAUAUUCUGCUGGCCACUAAGGUGCCAGCUACUGCCCAUGCUGGUGCCAUUGCCCAUGGGAAGUCACCGUGCUAGCCCACAACACUGGUCCGGGGCCAGGAAAAACCUCCUUCUUCAGGCUUUAGGCAUUGCCACUAAAAUCUCCAGGGGCAUCACUGAAAUUCUUAGUGAUGUGUAGCUGAUUGAGACUGGAGACAAAGUGGGAGCCAGCAAAGCCACACUGCUGAACGUGCCGAACAUCUGUCUCCCCCCGCCCCUCUGGGCUGGUCAUCCAGCAAGUAUUUGACAAGGUUGGCAUCAACAACCCUGGCAUGCCUGACAUUGCAAGGGAAACUGCAUUCUUGCUUCCUGGAGGUGCAAUGUUGCCAGUGUUUGUUGCAGCCUGGUUACCCAUUCUAUCAUCAACGGGUGCAAGAGAGUCGUGGCUUUGCCUUUGGAGACUUAUUAUACCUUCCUACUUGCUGAAAAGUCCAAGUCCUUUAGGCUGAUCCUUCUGCCCCUGUGGCUGCCACCACUGCUGCUGCUCCUGCUGCUGCUACAGCCCUAGCCAAGACUGAAGCUAAAUAAGAGUCAGAGGAGUCAGACGAGGAUGUGGGAUUCGGUCUCUUUGACUAAUCACCAAAACCAGCAAACUUAGCCAGCUUUAUUUUCAGAACAAGGAAAUAAAGGCUUACUUCUCUUAAAAGU